UAUAACUUUUUGUUCUUGUUAUUUACUACUUCAAAAUUUGUUUACAAAUCGUGUUUUUACAAACACGGGCUUUAGCGAAAUGAUUGAUCGCUAGCAACAUGUGCAAGACGAUUUAGUUUGAAAUUAUAGUACAACACGUUACUCUAGGGGUUAAAGUUUCCGUUUUGACAAUGAUUAAUAGGUACAAACAUUAUUUUUUAAAAUUAUAAUUAUGAUGGAUAUCCCUUUAAACAAAAAGUAUCCGAACAUAAAGUGUUGUUCGAAACUCUCGCAUCCACAUCCCAAGAACCUUUUACCCAACAACUCGUUAAUUUAACACUGCCUAAAGUAACCGCAAACAUUUUAUCCCCGCAAUCAGUGUAAAUCAAGAGAAUAGCCACAGAAAGGAAUUGGUUUCGGCUAUAAAAUUCCAAGAAAAUUCAACAGUUCCACAAUAAAGUGUUAACGAACGAUAAAAAUACACCGUACUUAUAAAUCAAAACGUAUUUUGUAACAUUAUAUCUUCCUUUACUUAAAACUAUUUUAAAACUCAUCUGCGUCAUCAAAAUCCGCUCAUAAACGAGUAAUUACUCAUCAAAACUCACGUAGAAAGGAGGUCAUGCUAUGAUGUAAAUGGCUUUGUGUACAGUAGUAUGAUUGUUUUGUGGUUUUUAAAUCGAAUUCACACUCUUCAUAUAGAAAUUCCCUGUUCAAGUUGUUUAAGAAAUCAUGAGAUAAGGAUAAAGAAAAACAAGCGGAAACCGCAUUUGGUGAUUUAUGAUUUAAAAGGACGUGAAAAUCUGUUUCCUCAUUAGUAUUGAACGAACCUUGUCUUUGAGAAGUAUCAUAAGAAAUAAUGUUUGGAGUAAGAAUCUUUUUGGUGAUGCUGGUGUUAUUUUACGUCGUGUUUUUAAUGGAUGAGGUGGAAGGAAUAUUUCCUUUGUACCCUCGUUGCCCUAAAGGACAAAGAAGGAUUAAAAAACUGUGCCGAGAAGUGUUUUAAACAAUUAAUUACGAAUAAGUAUGUUAAUCAGAUUUUGUAAUUAACGAUUAAUUAUAAUAUAUUUGUUUAUUUAAAUCUA